rnacentral:rRNA from 1 species
UACGGAGGGGGCUAGCGUUGUUCGGAAUUACUGGGCGUAAAGGGCGCGUAGGCGGUUUACCAAGUCAGGCGUGAAAGGCCUGGGCUCAACCCGGGAACUGCGCUUGAUACUGGUUGAACUUGAGUCCGGGAGAGGAUGGCGGAAUUCCCAGUGUAGAGGUGAAAUUCGUAGAUAUUGGGAAGAACACCGGUGGCGAAGGCGGCCAUCUGGACCGGCACUGACGCUGAGGCGCGAAAGCGUGGGGAGCAAACAGG